GAAAGAAAGAAAGUGAUGCAAGUUUGGAACAACAUGAGAAGAAUCCUGGCGUAUCUUCCUAUUGAAAGCCACUGGGUGUGCAGGACUGAGUGGACAGAAGCGAAAGAGAACGAGAAGGAAGAAGUUUAGCUCCACUGGGAGCAAGUGGGAGAAAAAGAGAGAGAGCAAACCCUCGAGUUCAUCAAUGUGUUUCCAAUCUUUACUGGCAGGGUGAGUUUAAGAUUGAAUCAAUGCGAGGAAAAAUAAAAAUAGAGGUAGACUGUUAUUUACCGAGUAAGGUGCCAUUCGAGCAUAAUGCAUUUUUGUGUUUAAAAACACAUUUAAGUUAAACUUUUUAAUUUGAGCGCCAUUUUUUUAUUAUUCAGGUUCAUGCACGGGACACAGCAAAAGGCUUUGGGCACGGCCCGUGUUUCUGGACCACCCUAAUAGUUCCAAUAAAGUGUUUGCACCUACAGUGCGUCACAGCUGGGUCAGUUACCCAGAUGCGUGGCCAUAUUGGAGAUAUUCAGAUGAAAACAACAGUAAAGGAUGUGAUAUUCUGACAAACUAAGGUUAAUAGGUGGUAAAUAUCCAUACGAGCUGGCUCGUUUGUUGUGGACUGACGACCCGACAGUUCUUUCUUCUAUUUUUAUCCCAACAUAAGCUGUUUCCAUUACACUUCAAAUUGUGCAAACUGAAAUUGCAAUUUAAUGUUUUAUAACCUCAAAGAAACAGCUCAUAUGUGGCUGCUUUCAAGUAUGAAGGGCUUUCCUUGCCAUUAAUGCUUGGAUAACCCCUUAUUUACACUGCAGCUCUGACAUGGCCACUGGAGCUGAUUGCGUCCACGUUAGUCAUUGCUUGUGUUUAUAGCAGCCACGUGCUUCAGCAUGUUUCAGAAGCGUCCCAGAAGCAUCUAUCUGCACUGCUUUGCUAAAGAUACACAUCUAUGUUUCCUUCAAUUAAAAAUAAUGGCUAGUGCAAUGGUUGCGAUAUAGUAAACCUACCAACAUCCGUCACCAUGACUUAUCGCAAGUGGAAAAAAAAUUAUGUUUUAGUCGCACAACAUCGGUUAAUGGAAACGCAUCAUUUAAUUUUUUUUUUUUUUUAAAAUUUUAAAUUAAUGGAAAUGCAGCUAUAGUGAAAUAUUUUGGGUUUGCCAAGAACAUACACAAGUUCUGUUCGGUUCAGUGGCACUGUUUUAGUUCAGUACCUUAAUAUGGCCGACUUCCGGAUUAAUGACGUGCCAUGAAAACACCCUACAGACGUUUCAACCCUAAACACAAACUACUUUGACAAUAAUAGGUCAAUAUAAUAGACUGCACUUACAUUUUUCCUCUGCUAAUGAAAGCAGCUCCAAACAAAGCCACAGCAGAAUUAAGCAUUGUGUGUUUCCAAGCAACACAAACAAUAGUGAUGUUGCUGUAUGGAUCAUGUUU
ensembl:lncRNA